UGACCACUCAAGCCUGGCUUGGUGUUGGGGUCCGCGGUCCUGCGGCCCUUAAAAUCAGUGGCGGCGCCAUCUGGCUCUAAGCGUAGUAAUACUCCUCGCUAUAGAGUCCUGGUGGAUGCUUGCCAGCAACCCUCAAUCUCAC
rnacentral:misc_RNA from 1 species